GCCAAGUCAUUUGAUGCCACUUUGCAUUCCAAUCUCAAGACGAAGAAAGUCGAAAAAGCUUUUACAAAAUCAUUAUUAGCUCCAGAUGUACUUAUCUCCAUAGUGUGUGCGGUGUUUGAUUCAUCAACAAAAUAUCCUGUGCCAUUGAAUUGUCUACAAGGAUUUGACCUACCGAACAAUUUACUCGACAUUCUUCGUUUUAGUCAAGAAAAGAUAGUUAUAACCAUGGAUGUGGAACACGUGUUUCACAAGUUUAAAAUAGAAAAAAAAAACAAACAACGUUGUAGUCUUUGUUUUAUAUCAAAACAAUAAACAACCUCUUGUGAUGACAAGAACUGUCUUUGGCAAUACUGCAUCACCUGCACUCGCAAAUUAUGGAUUCCGCAAACUUGUAGAAAUACUGAUCAAGACAUGCAUCCUCUCGUUAACGGAAGAUUCUAUGUAGAUGACAGAUUGAUAUCCUGUAAAAGAUCAGACUGUAAAACUUCACAUCAAGUGGCCUUCAACUCGAUAUUUAGAUAUAUUGAUGACGUUUUAUCUAUUACAGUGAUCGACACCUGUGACCUAGAUUGUUCUGGAUCUUGGAUGUUUACCACUUCAGUAGAAAGAUGACGUAACACUGAUAACAUAACUGUCUUUCAUGAAUGUUCCAGAUACUUCAUUUUUAUAAUAAAUGCACUGUGAAAGCUCUGGUAGAAAAGCACUUUACGAAUUGGUGAUUAAACGCAUUUUUUAUAUACAUGUAUCUGGGGAUUACAGGAAUUUGAUUGGAAUUAACAGCUGACUCGUGGCAGUUUUGUGUGUAAAGAAACCCGCAACGGACAUUUAUAUUAUUGUACAUUUGUCGUAAUUGCGUAAGUUAGUAUUUUGUUAUAAUUUUCUUUCAAUAAUUGUAAAUAAAUUGUGUUAAUUUUAAAUUGUCUAUGUUAGUAAAUUCUGCUGUUGCAUUAUUUAGGGUUUAUUCUGACCCAUAACUCAUAUCGAGGCGUCACCAGCUGUAAAUGAAGUACCCCUUUAGACCUAUGCGCUCAGGGCCAGGCUAUAACAGUGAUGGUUCGUUACCAUGCUAAAGCCUGCCCCAACACGAGACCUUCGUUUUUAAGGUCAUAUCCGAAAGACCCGUGAUUUUCACUUCUAAGUGCCGAACAUUUGGCGAAUAAGCAAUAAGUACCCAUUUCAACGUCUUAGGUUUAACUCGGCGAUUGCACGAGCCGGGUUCAAACUCAUGACCGCCCGGCAUAAGAAGCUAACGCUCUACCACUGAUCUACAGUGCCCGGUAUCUCGAUUCGAUAUAUCCCUGGAACUCGAAAUAAAAGACACCACAAAGUUUUCCACAUCUGCUCCGUACUUUUUUUUUUUUAUUGAAAAUAAAUAUUUAAAAACUUACAACUCAACUUUAUGAAAAACGGGAUGAUUUCAGCUUCUCCAUCGUCAACUUUCCAUAUUUAUGUAGUAAUACUCCAUUAUCACCUGCAUAUAGUGUUUAUAUCUCUCACCUGAUUCGAUACACAAGAGCUUGUUCUGCGUAUGAUCAUUUUUAAAUUGAGGCAGGCUGCUGACAAACAAGUUGAUGUUACCAGGUUUUCAACAGCCGUGUAAAGUCAGCAUUUCGGAAAUUCUAUCGUCAUUAUAAUGAGCUAGUUUAUCAAUACAACCUAUAAUUGAGUCAAAUGCUGUUUGACGUGUUAGGCCGUUCUUGGCACACUGAUUUUGACUACGGAUUACUCUGUUUACCUGAUCAAGAUAUAGAGCUCAUGUCGGUGCAACUGGUCGAUAGGGGAUGCUUACUUGUCCUAGGUACCUGAUCCCACACCUGGUAUAUCCAGGGGUCCGUGUUUGCGCAUCUCUUUAUUUUGUAUUACUUAUAGGAGUUAUGAGAUCGAUCACUGUUCAUUAUCUUCACCUUUCAUAGUCCUCUAUACCUGCUUCAUACUUAAUUUAUUGAACAUAGAUGCUAACGGUAAACUAACAACUGAACUUUAUGACGAACUGGGUGAUUUCAGCAUCUCCAUCGGUAAUAUGAUAAUCCCACAUUUAUGUAACAAUAUUAUUAUUAUUAUUUUAUUCAUUUAUAAAGCGCAAAAUUACCUAUAGUUUAUAUGCGCUGUACAAUGUUUGUGCUAAUAAUCAUAGAUAAUAUACUAAUAAAAGACCUGCAAGAGCUAUAAAGAAAAUGAUAAAACAAUAGAAAAAAUUAAAAUAAAACAUGGUAGUAAAAUGA